rnacentral:rRNA from 1 species
GGCGGACGGGUGAGUAACGCGUGAGAAUCUAGCUCUAGGUCGGGGACAACCACUGGAAACGGUGGCUAAUACCGGAUAAGCCGUGAGGUAAAAGAUUUAUUGCCUAGAGAUGAGCUCGCGUCUGAUUAGCUAGUUGGUGUGGUAAGAGCGCACCAAGGCGACGAUCAGUAGCUGGUCUGAGAGGAUGAUCAGCCACACUGGGACUGAGACACGGCCCAGACUCCUACGGGAGGCAGCAGUGGGGAAUUUUCCGCAAUGGGCGAAAGCCUGACGGAGCAAUACCGCGUGAGGGAGGAAGGCUCUUGGGUUGUAAACCUCUUUUCUCAAGGAAUAAGAAAGUGAAGGUACUUGAGGAAUAAGCAUCGGCUAACUCCGUGCCAGCAGCCGCGGUAAUACGGAGGAUGCAAGCGUUAUCCGGAAUGAUUGGGCGUAAAGGGUCCGCAGGUGGCAUUGAAAGUCUGCUGUUAAAGAGUGAGGCUUAACCUCAUAAAAGCAGUGGAAACUACAAAGCUAGAGUGCGUUCGGGGUAGCAGGAAUUCCUGGUGUAGCGGUGAAAUGCGUAGAGAUCAGGAAGAACACCGGUGGCGAAAGCGUGCUACUAGGCCGUAACUGACACUGAGGGACGAAAGCUAGGGGAGCGAAUGGGAUUAGAUACCCCAGUAGUCCUAGCCGUAAACGAUGGAUACUAGGCGUGGCUUGUAUCGACCCGAGCCGUGCCGGAGCUAACGCGUUAAGUAUCCCGCCUGGGGAGUACGCACGCAAGUGUGAAACUCAAAGGAAU